UUUCGGGGCGCUAGUGUCGGGAAUUAAUUGGUGGGGGUGUAUUCCUGUUAUGAUUCUGUAUUCAGUGUUUCGUGUUCCGUGUUCCAUGUUUAUUACGAAUCUGUGUGCUUUCCUCUGCUUUAUAUUCCUGCAUUCCUGCUUUACUCUGUUUUAUAUUCCCUAUGGGUGCCGUAUCUAUGUUAUGUCAUCUGCUGCUGUGCUGUACUAUGUGUUUGUGUGAUAUCUCGUGACUUGAGCCGGGGGUCUUUCGGAAACAGCCUUUCUACUUCAUCAGAGGUAGAGGUAUGGACUGCGUACAUCUUACCCCCCCCCAGACCCCACUAAGUGGGAAUACACUGGGUUUGUUGUUGUUGUUGUUGUACCUUAAUAUUGUAGAAUCAUGUUUGCGUGUCUCUCUAUAUAUAUAGUGUGAAGGUGCUAUAUGUACGUUAGAAGAAAAUUAGAUAAUAUCUUUAUCUGCUGGUAAGCAAAAUCUUUGCCUAGACAUAUUCUUGGACCAGCCUGUAAAUUAGAUAAACCAAUGAGUUAGAGAAAAGAUAAUAUAUAUACAGAUUUAGCAGUAUAUCGCUUAUGGUUUUCUAAUCCCAAUCACAGAUUAGUAGAUUACGUACAAUACAGGCCAAAAGAAUAUAUAAAUUCUUUAGACCAAAGUAAAAAUAUUAUCUUCUCGUCUACAAACUAACUUAAACAUCAAAGCCCCUGGAAAGAUCUUGAAUAGCUCUCUGCUAAAACUUGAUAUCCUUGAGCAUAAUCUCCUAUUAUGUGAACUAUACUUAAAUAGUACCUAUAUAGUUUCAGUGAUCACCUAUAUUUGUUCAGUAGACGUAAAGUAUGAGUGUAUAAAAUAAUUAAAACAUUCUCUUACAUGAAAUGCUAUAAAUUUGAGUGGGUACAAUAUCUGAAGGCAAACUGUGCUUCAAUUAAUUUUCCUUUUGGAGUAUUUUUAGAUUACUAGUCUUGGCCCUGUUCAUUUGAUAAUACCAUAGAACGCAUCAGAUCGUUCCUUUUUCUUACUUCAUCCUUGUACUCGAAACCCAACUGAUUCAACUAUACAUCUCCUAACUCCUAUGUUUUCUUUUCCCAAUUCUACUAUCCGAUAUUUAUAUUAGAGCUCUAUUAAAUUUGGAUUUGCAUCUAAAAGACUCAUGUUACUGAAUAAAAUGCUUUCUCAAUUGAACUGCUUGAAUCAUCAAAAGAGAAGAGAGAUUGUAUUUCAACAAUUCAUAUCUAAACGCCGACUACUUAGUAUAUUGCAGAUUUUCUGCGUGGUGUUCUAAUAUUUUCUCUGAUCUAUAUUCUCAUAUCAUAAUUUUGGUGAGUGCCAUUUUUUUCAUUUGCUUUGGCUGUUAUAGUAAGUUCUCCUUUCACUCCACAAUUUUUUAACUUACCCAUUUCUUCAUUUGUUUGUUAUUUCUUAAUCAUUUGCUUAUUCAGUUAAUUUAAAUUAUUUCUUUUUAGGUUUCUUUCAUGUCAUUCUUCCCUUAUUUAAUUUUGGUAAGUAUUACUUUUUCACUUAUUACAAUUGUCAUACUGAAUUCAUGUUUUAGUUUGUUUACUUUACAUCUCUUAAUUUGUUAACUAUUUUCCAAUGCACUAAUUUGCUUAGUAAUUUAUAUAAUUUUAAUCUCAUGUCUCAAACUUAAAGUUUUAUACUCUCUGUAUAAAUACAUUGUAAUAUAAAAUUACAGUAAUGUAUGAGAAAUGCGACAACAAAGAUCAAACCGUCGAUAUUAUAAUCGUCAAUAGAAAGGCUAGGCAUCAAGAACUAUAUAGAUUGAUGACAUCUGAUUACAAAAAAGCUUUGUUAGCUCGACAACGAGCAAACAAAGUUGAAGUAAAAAAAGUUGCCUAUCCGAAAGUUCAGACGUCAGCAUUUCAAUUACUUCGUCUUUUCUUGAGGCCAUCACUUGUUUCGCAGAACAAGUUUCUUCUGUCGUAAGAUGCCCUACCUUCUUGAUGAAACAGUAGCGAAUUCUCUACCUAUCAAAAUGUAAAGUAGCUAAAACCUUUUAAAAUAUUUAUGUUGUAAAAAUCGAUUUAAUUUUAACAUAAACUAACUAUAUUAAUUAUUAUUAUUUAUUAUCAGGAUCAACAUCAGCUACAAAGCGUUCACGACUUAAUGAAAAUCCAAUAACGAAUAUAACACAAGUUGACACAUAAAUUGAUAGCUCAAGUAGUGCACAAACACAAAUUAGUUAUAUUCAUCUUAAAGUUGUUCCUAAUUGUAAAUUUUGUGGCGCAAAAAGAUUUGAAUAUAGACCUCGUGCGUUUUACUGUAGUAAUGGUUCCGUACAUUUAAUUUCUUAUGAAAUGCCUCAUGAAUUGAAAAAUCUUUAUUUAGAAAAUACAGAGAAAUCAAAACAGUUUUACACUUACAUUAGAACAUUCAAUAACAUUUUUGCGUUCACAUCACUUGGAGUAACCUAUUAUAAAACUUCACUUGGAGUAACCUAUUAUAAUACUUUAGCAAAAGAAAAUAAUGGUCUUUACACAUUUCGUGUACAAGGACAAAUGUACCAUUUUAUAAAUGAUUUAAUCCCUGCUGCUCAAAAAGCUAAAAACCAACAAUUAUAUUUCUUUGACAGUGAAAAUGAAUUGCAAAAUCGAAUGGCCUGCUCAAACAAACUUGAUGAAAAUAUUGUGCUACUCUUAAUGAACAUAUUAAAAUUUCAUAAUACAUAUUCUAUUUUCCUGAAAUCUUUAACAAAUAUCGCUAAACUCUUUGAUUUCUGUUUCGCUCUUAAAUGUGAUGUUGGUUUAGAUCAACGAGUUUACAACUUGCCGACUGCUUCGAAAGUUGCAGGGUAGAAAAUGAUGAUGCUAAUAAUUAUGUACCUACACCACAUAUUCGUAUUUACACAGAAACUAACAAAAGUCAACUGAUAAAUUAUUAUUAUGGUUGUUAUGAUCCAUUACAAUAUAAUUUUUUUUUCUUAUGAUCAAAAUGGCUGGCAUUGUGGUGUUAAAAAGAUAAAUCCUUCAACUGUUGCACCUAAUAGUCUUACGUACUGUGAACACGAACAAUUUUUUAAUAUAAAAGCUGAAAACAUGCGCAAGGAAAAAUGUAAAAGAAAUACAGUUUCUUAUCGUGAAUAUUAUAGUUACAAAUUACAAAUGAGAAAUAAUGAAAAUAUAAUUUUUUAUUUUGGUAGAUUAUUUCAGCAAUUUGUAGUUGAUCAAUGGAGUAAAAUUGAGAGUCAGCGAUUAGACUUUGCUUAUUUUAAUCAAGACUUAUUGAAUAGAUAUGUUGAAGGACUUUUGGAUAUGCUAUGACGUGGAGAAAGAGAAGCUUCACAAAUAGGUAGAAAUAAAAUACUUCCACGUAGCUUUACAUGAGAUAUGCGCCGACGAUAUAUGAACGCCAUUGCAUUGGUGCAACGUUUUAAAAAAUCGAACAUUUUUUUAACAAUGACCUGUAAUCAGGCUAGAAAUAAAAGCUAAGAUCUUGUCUACAGAUGAAGCAUAGAAUAGACCAGAUUUAAUUAGCCGAAUAUUUCAUGCAAAAUUAGAAGAAUUAAAGAAAGAUAUUUCAAAAAGACAUAUAUUUGGUAAAGUUGCAGCGUUUAUGUAUAUAAUAGAAUUUCAAAAAUGAGGACUUCCACAUGCUCAUUUUCUUAUCAUAUUAGAUGAAAAGUAUAAAUUAUUAACUUCUGAAGCAUAUGAUAAAUUUGUUUGUGCUGAAUUACCAAAUCCUGAUAUCAAUCCUGAAUUAUACACACUUGUACAAAAUAUAUGAUUCAUGGUCCUUGUGGUGUAUUAAAUCUGACAAUGUCUUGUAAAAAAAAAAGUUUCUAUAAAUUUAAAUAUCCAAAAGAAUUCUCUCAACAAACAAGUAAAGGUAAAAAUUCGUAUUCAAUUUAUAAAAGACGAAAUAUCGAAAAAUUUAUUGAACUUAAAAAAUAUUUAAUAGAUAAUUCAUGGGUUGUUACUUAUAAUUCAUUUUUACUUUGUAAAUAUAGUUAUCAUAUAAAUGAAGAGAUUUGUUCUGAUAUUAAAGUCAUCAAAUAUAUUUAUAAAUAUAUUUGCAAAGGACAUGAUAAAAUUGCAUUUCAUAUAACAUUCAACUGAUACAAAUAUAGAAAUUGAUGAAAUUAAAGAAAAUCAAUCUGGAAGAUGGGUAUCGCCCCAGAAGCUAAUUAGUGUAUAUUUGCUUUCCCUAUUAGCGAAAUGAAUUCAAGUGUAUACCAUCUUCAAGUACAUUUGUAAGGAUAACAGUUAAUUUCCUUUAAAAGUAAUGAUACCAUCACCAAAAUUAUAAAUAAUCCUAUGAUCGGAAAAAUAAUGUUAACAGAAUUUUUUAUGAUGAAUGCUAAAGACGAAUAUGCUAAAAGUCUUAAUUUAUUAUACCGAAAAUUUUCAGAACAUUUUGUAUGGUCAUAUUCAGAUAAAAUGUUGACGCUCCAUAAACAAGAAAAAGUUCUUGGUCAUGUCGUAACAUGCCACCCAACUGAAGAAGAAAGAUAUUAUUUAAGACUUAUUUUAAUGAAUGUAAGAAAUCAACAUCUUAUCUAUAUUUGCAUACCGUAAAUAAAAAAUUCUAUAAUACAUUUAGAGAAUCCGCUGAGAAAAGAGGAUUAUUACUUUCUAAUAACAAUUUAAUGGAAUGUAUGAUUGAAGUUGCAGGUUAUCAAAUGCCUUAUAGUUUACGUCAUUUAUUCGCUACUUUAUUAGUUUAUUGCAAUCUUACAAAUCCUAAACAACUAUGGGAAAGAUUUGAGAAUUCAAUGUCUGGAGAUUUUAUAAAUAUUAGGCAUCCACCAUCUCAUAGUGUCUGAUACAAAGUAUUAACUCAUAUUAAUGAUAUUUUAUACUCAAUGGGCUGUGAUAUCAACGAAUUUCAACUUAUACCAGAAUUACUUUAACCUCCUGAAAUAACAAACGAAGCUAAAGAUGUUCAUUUUGAAUGAACUAUCACAGUUAGUGAAAAAGAUUUAUUGUUAGAAAAAAUUUAAAUGUUGAACAAAAAAGAGCUUACAAUAUCAUACUCGAUCGGAUAUUUUCAAAUAAAUUAGGUGUUUUUUUUAUUGAUGGCCCUGGUGGAACAGAAAUGACUUUUUUAUAUUGUGCUUUGGUAGGUACUGUUAGGCAUAAUGAUUUAUUGCUUAGCAAUAGCAAGCUCAGGUGUCGCAACUUCCCUUUUUCCUAGAGGACGAGCUGCUCAUUCGCGUUUUAAAUUACCUAUAAAUAUUGAAGAAAAUUUUAGUUGUAAUAUAAGUAAAUAAAAGUUCUUUAGCUUCUUUAAUUCAAGAUUCUAAGCUAAUUGUUUGGGAUGAAAUUUCAAUGGUGAAAAGAAAUUAGUUGAAGCUUUAGAUUUUCUUUUACAAGAUUUAAUGGAAAUUAAUACAAUAUUUGGUGAAAAAGUGAUUAUUUUCAGUGGAGAUUUUAGACGAACUCUUCCCAUUGUUCGUGGUGAAAAAAAAAAAAUUUCAUUUAUGAAAGUUUACUUUGCUCUGAAAUUUGCGAUCAACUAGAAAAAUUAAAAUUGUCAAAAAAUAUGCAAACAAAAUCUGAUCUCGCUUUUUGUGAAUAUUUGAUGAGCAUUAGUAAUGGUAUCGAAAAACCAAACAAACAAGGAAAAAUCACACUUUUCAAUUCUUUAAUUAUUUCCUUCACUACUAAAAAAGAAUCUCUACAACUUUUAUUUAAAAUUACUUACCCUAAUUUAUAUAUAUGUUAUUCAAAUGCUUCAUUCAUCACUUCUCGCGCUAUCUUAACAAUAAAAAAUGACUUUCUUGAUGAAAUUAAUGAUAUGCUAAUAGCUCAAUAUCCAACACCACCAAAAGUUUAUCAAGCUAUUGAUGAAAUAAUCAACCCAAACGAUCAAAGCGAAUAUGAAGAUUUUAUGCAUAGUUUAAAUCCUGCGGGUUUACCUCCUUAUAGAUUAACGUUGCAAAAAAACUGUUCAAUUAUGAUAUUACGCAAUUUAGAUCCGUGUGAAGGUUUAUGUAAUGGAACAUGCUUAAUAUGCAAUGAUUUUAAAAAUUAUAUCUUUAGCACAGUAAUAUCUAGUUGAGAUUUUAAAAACAAACAUGUAUUCAUUCCACGAAUUUCUUUACAAACAUCACAAGACGAGAAAUUGCCCCUUCAAUUUAAAAAAACUCAAUUUCCAAUACGAUUAUGUUAUGCCAUGACCAUAAAUAAAGUACAAGGUCAAACAUUAGAUUUUGUUGGUAUUUAAUUAUGUGAACUUGCAUUUUCUCAUGGCCAACUAUAUGUUGCUUUUUCACGAGCAAAAACUUCUAAUUGUGUAAAAGUAUUGAUUAAACCUUCUACAACUGAAGACAACGAUGACCAUUCAACCCAAAACAUAGUUUAUAAUGAGGUUAUUAGAAAGGCUUACCCAUGAUAUUAUAUUACAACUUGGUACACCUUAUAAACAACUAUCUUUUUUUACUUUUUCUCAUUUUUCAAAGUACUUUUUCCAUUAUUACUUUAUUAAUAAUACAUUUAACUUUUUAUAAAUUUACAUAGUAAUGUGCUUUACAUCUAAUUUUAUUAAUAUACAUCCUAAUAUUAAUAUAUAUAUUUUUCUCUUAUAAUUGCAGAUUCAUUCGAUAUGGAGCAUAAGUUCGAUAUCGACUCCAUCACUCCUCUAACCAAGGAUUGGACAUGUAAAGUUCAAGUUAUAGACAAACAUCCAGUAAAAAAUAGAGAUGAAAUCAAAAAGUAUCAAUUGCUAACUUUACAUGAUAAGGAGGUAAUUUUGUUACUUUUACUCUUCGUACAAUUAAUUUUUACAUAAUAAAAUAUUUUAAUAUUUUGCGCUUAAUAUUUUAUAUUAUUACAAAUUUCAUAUUAUUAUAAGUUGCAGAAAAAUCAAGUCCAAGAAAUUAUAUGGAAUACUGAUAUGCCACACUUUGAAAAACACUUCAAACUGUUUCAAACAUACUUGGUGUCAAUUGCUCAAGUUAAAGAACCAAAUCCAGGAUAUGUCAAUCCAUUCAACACAUACACAUGGAUAAUUGAUAAAACUACUAUCAUUGAGCCAAUUGACAAGAUCAUUUCUCCUGAAAAUCUAGUACCGCCGCCUACUCGUUUGGUUGCAGUUCGAUGGUUUUGAUAUACAAGCUAAGGAUUCUCAAUUCGGUAAUUAAACAAACUUAAUCAUUUACACCUUAAAAUAUAAAAGUUAAUCAUUAUUAAAAUAUGUUUUUACUCUUUUAUUUUCUAUUUAUUUAUUUACUAUCAUUUUACUUGUAGAUGUUAUUGCACUACUGGUUAAUGCUGCCCUUCCAAGUUAUGCAGGCAAUGGAAAAAAAUAUAAGAAUUCAUCAUUAUGGACGCUCAGUAAGUUUAUGCUUUUUCGCCUUCUUUUUUCAUUCUUUAAUUCUGUUUGUUUUCUAAAAUACUUUAUAUUAAAACUAAUUUGAAGAUACAACCAUUUCCUUUAUUAUUUCAGAAUUUGAUAAUAAAACGUGUUUUUCGAAGUUAAACUCUGAAAAAAGUAAAAAUUUCAUCGCCCCUUUAUUCUUACAACUUAUUCUUUGGCAUGCUGACUUUGUCUCUUCAUUAGUCUAUGAAUUAAUAAUUGUAUAUAUCAUUAUCAAUUCUCACAAAUAAUAAUGUGUUUGUUGGAACCAGGCAACUUCCCAAAGCUAAUAUGUAACAUGAGAUUGAACUAUUUUAUUUCGUUUUUGCAUCUUCUCUUUCUUUUUUAAAAUUUUAAUAAAAAAUUAACUCAAUUAUGUUUACCUAACAUUAAAUUUGAAUUUAACAAGCAAUAAUGAAAAACGAAAGUCAAAAAAGGCAUACACGAUUAAACCUGAUGAUAUUUUUUCUCACCAAACUAAUAAGGAUCCGACAAAGAUUUAGAUAAACUUGGUGAGACUUUGGUGGCUAGAAGUUAGAUUUGCAUGGUUAAGGGCUUAAGGCUUAGCUUAACAUUUGAGAGUUUGUUUUCUCUGUAGCACAUGUGUAGGGAUUCACGAUUGUAACUUUUGAUUUUUUUUGGUCUAAUGUACAAGCUAAUGAUAGCGUUUGUCUUUUAAAUAUGCAAUAUGUUGGAGAGCACAGAUAUUAUGCAGGGGAUUAUAAUCAAGUACUGUGUAAUAAAUGUUUAUUUAUGUUCAUAUAUGAAGUUGCUUCAAGUUGUAUUGACUAAGAUAGAAAACUAAUCUUUAGAAUUGCAUAUAUGCGAUUUAUAAUUAAAAAGAAACAUAUGCAAGUUUAAUUUGGUUCUUAGAAAAGGCGAUUUCUUUUUUUGAUUCCCAUGAAAUUUGAUGUAUGAAACUUUAAGAUGUUCAGUGGUAAAAAAAAUAAUUUUCCAUAGAAUUUCACAAGUUAGCUUACCCCAUAAUUUGACACUAAACACAAUGUACAUGUUCACACUUAAUUAGAAAGUUACUUUUAUACAAAUUUACGGUAGUGUCAAAAGACAUGCUAAUCCCCUCGAAUAACCAUUCUCUUGAAAACUUGUAUCUUUUAUGUGAUUUGAAGCAAGUAAAGAUCAUUCUUCAAAACUUUUAAUUUUUGCAUAAUUUGAAGAAAGUAAAGAAGGUACCUAGUAUAUGUUCUAUCGGGUAAUAUUUAGCCUUGUGCAGUUCUACAGGUACUUCAGAUAAAGCUACCACAAUUUUGGAUGCAAAUUUCAAUUAUUAAAUUAUUAUAAACUCUGCAUAUCUUCACUUAUGAAUGUGUAGUUCUUUAAUACUAAAUAUUAUCUCAUAGUUAAAUUAUGCAAGUGAGCGUGUUAUAAUUUGUCAUCUUUUAUUAGCAUAUUCUUUGAUUUUACAUUUUAUUGUUACUAUUUUUUUCUGUAUUGUUUCAAUAAGAUUCCUAUAAUCAUUUAGCAUAUUUUAAGUUUGUUUAACAAAAAUUUAAUCUUUAUCCUAUCAAAUUUAAUGUUUGAAUAUUUAUUAUGUUUUACUAUUCAUAGAAAAAAAUCAAAAAAGUUGACACUUUGGGAAGAAUAUGUGAAUACUAUGGAAACACUCUUUUCAGAAAUUUAAAGACUGCCCUGUGAUUCUGCUUAAAAGAUUAACGAAAUCAGUGUCAAAUACAAUAAUUCAAUUAUAAUUUUUACUGUAUAUAAUUUUUUCUUACUAAUAUCACUUUAUUAUAUACAUAUAGGUUUGUCAAACAAAUACAACACAAUAAUACUUUUGCAUCCUACUUACCCGCAAGUUGUUGCUUUGGGUUCAUGGUAAUGUUCAAAUAUUAUCCGCUUACAAAAUUGAAUCCACCAACCAAAUUAAUAAUAAAAAAUUUUGCAGGGCCAAAACAGUUCAGCCAUUACUGCUUGAAUACACAACAAAAAGUAUAUCCACAAUCGAUUCUCUUCUCUUUGUUCUAUUUGAAGAACAAUCAAUACUCAUAUCUGACAUCCAGAUGCAAGCACCAGUAAGAAAAGCAACAAUUUCUCAAUAUCUUUUUUUGCAAUUGUGAAUUACUCGCAUUUGUGGUUAUUAUUAUGAGCUACUGUAACGGGAUUAAUAAUCCAGUUACUUUCACCGAGAAUUGGCGUUACAACAAACACUUGGUUGAGCUUUGCUGAGAAGAGUAUCCUAAAUGGGCCGGGAUUUUAUUAUGAUUUAUGGCUGAAUAAGUAUUAAAUGAUGCUGAUAAUAACAGACUCAAUUUUUAAAGGGCGAAUUGUGUUAUGUAGAUGGCCGCUUCACAAUCACAAAUCAGAAUCAAGACUUUUGUUCUAUGGCAUGCUUAGAUUGUAAAAUUUCAUUCAUAAGAUGCAUCUUAUCAAGGCCAAUCUAUUAUAUACGCUGGCGAACGUUCUACUCAGUUUGUCCCUAGGUAAAUUAAUAACUCGAUAACUUUAAUAGUUUAAGCGGGUAUAUUUUUCCUCUUAGUAAUAUCAAACCUGAAAGCUUUUACAAUGAUGUGGCUGCAGGAAUAAAAGAUAGGUAGAAAGAAAACAUGAAAAGUCAUCCUUUAACAAUUACAAGAAAGAAAAAAAUAAAAACAAACCCAUACUUAGAAUUUUUGAACGACAUAAUAGUACAGUAGUAUAAUCCUACUCAGGGGUGGCAAAUAGGCGGAUUGAAUUGGAUUUGGACGGGUUAAAUAUGGAUCGAGCAAAAAUGGUUUGAAUUGCAAUUCGCCCAUAUAAAUAUGGGUAAAUAUGGAUUUGGUCAAAUAUGGAUUGGGUAAAUAUGGUUUCAACCCACUUUAACUCCUAAGUCAAAAACUUAAAACUUCUAUAUCAUAUCAACUUGACUUUUUUUUUUUUCAUUUCUUUUUUCUUUUUUCUUUUUUUUUUAAUUUUUUUUGUCUCUGCUCUAUAUGUAGCCUCUAAUUUUUUUUUUUUGUCAUUUCUUUUUUUUUCUUUCUCUCUUUUAUCUCUACCCUCUACCCUUUGUUUCUCUUUCUUUUUUUCUUUUUUUUUUCUUUUCCUUUUUAGUCUCCUUUUUUUCUAUUAUUUGUUUUUACUUCUUUCUCAUUUUUUUCUUUUUUGCUUGUAUUUUAUGUUUUAUAUUUUUUUUAUUUUUGAAGAACAUGGUUAAGUCGAGUACAAAUUAUGGAUGGUGACUAAAAUAUCGUAACCACUCAGUAUAUUUAUUUUCACCAUCAUCUUUUUUCUUUUUCCUUUUUCAUUAUUUUUUCUUUUUGAUUUUUUUUGUAUUUUUUUCUUUAAUUCUUUCUUUACGCUUUUUUCUCUCUUCUAUCGCUAACUUCUACCUCCCUUUCUACUUUUUUUUCUUUUCUAUUUUUCAUUUCUUUCUUUUUUUUAUGAUAACGAAAAUACCAUAAGAGCAUAUUGAUUUAUAUUCGCCCAACAUUUAUAAUUUGAGGGCUAUGUGGAUCCUCAGCCAUAUAUAUUUUAAUCUCAAGAAAAUACAAUUAAUUCAUAUACUUUUUUUUUAUUUUUCAUCCGGUGUUUGGUGCCUACAUUGGAGCCCCAACUAAUCCGGAUCGGGCGUUGCAGGGCCCGUUAAGGUGGCAGCGCUCCCAACAGAGUUUUCUCCAUAACCAGGGUCGUACCCUCGAUCUCUGGUUAAGGUGGAGCAGCCCCAUCCACUGCACCACAACCCAUGUUGAUUUUAAUUCAUAUACUUAUUUGUAUAUAAAUACAAAUGAUAAAUUGCACAUAUUGACAACUAAACUAUUCAAAUACAAAUAAUAAACUUAUUUGAAAUAUAUAGUUUGAUACAAAUAAAUUUUAAGUAAAGUAUAAAAUACAAAGACAAAAAAAGAUGAGGAAAAGAAAAUAAAAAAAAUAAGAAAAAUGACAAAAAUGACGAACCAAGAAUGAAAAAGGGGGAAACGAAAAUACAAAAAAAAGAAUGCAAAGAAAUAAAAUUGAAAAAGAAAAAAUGAUGAAAAAGAAGAAAGAAAAAAAGUGUAAGAAACGAGUAAAAAAUAAGUUGAAAAAUGAAAAAGAAAAAAAAAGUAAAUUAAAGAAAAAAAGAAAGAAAAAAAUAGUAAAUUAAAGGAAAAAAGAAAGAAAAAAUAAAAAAAAGAAAGAGAAAUAAAAGAUAGAAAAAAAUAGUAAUAAAUGAGUGAGACUACGGAUUAUAUUUAAUUGAUAAGAGAUGUUAUGAAUUAUAUAGGCUAAAUGGGAUAAUUAGAAGCUUAUAUUUACUAACCCAUGCAGGUCUCAAGCGAAUACGAAUGAUGAAAUAAGAAUGAGAAAGGGGAAAGUAAAAAAAAAAGAAUUCAAAGAAAAAAGAAAUAAAAAUAAAAAAAUAGAUGAAAAAUGAGAAAGAAUUUUUUUUUAUAAGGAAUGAGUAAAAAAAUAAAAAAAAAUGAAAAAGAAAAAGAACAAAUUAAAGGAAAAAAGAACAAGGAAAGAAACUAGAAAGGAAAAAAAAACUGAAACUUUAAGUAUAGGAGAGUGAUCUCUGGGUUUAAAUGGAUAUCCAUAUUUUACCCAUUUUGUCCAUAUUUGUGUGAGCUUUUAAAAUGAGUUGAAGUUCAGAUUUAGCCAUUUUAAAUAUGAGUGAUCCAAUUCACUAAAUAUGCUUAAAUGAACUCUUUUCACAAAUAUGGGCUGAAAUUGCCACCCCUAAUCCUACUAAAUAUCUAUAUAAACAAUUGUUGAAGUAAUAUUGAAAUGUUGUCUGUCAAUAGACAAUAUCAUUCAGGCAUGACGAAUUUUUCAUUGAUGGUGAAAAACAUUCUGGGCAAUUGAAAAUAUUUGUCAAUGUUAGUUACUAAUUAUACCUAUUGUAGAGCUAGAUCAAAGACCCAAUGAAUCUAUUCAACUAAAUUAAAAAACCGAAGAAAAAAUUGAAUAAAGAAAAUCUUCAUAGUCUAUAGCAAAAUCCGUAAGUUUAUUUAUUCUCAGUUAGCCAUAGUCAUGUGCUCGUCAUAACAUUUUUUAGUACCUAAAAUAAUUUUUGAAUAACAUAAAUGCUGGUGAUUGGUUUUAUGUUUCUAAUCCAUCCUUCUUAUUUUCUAUCUAUCGACGGUGAACGCUUUUCCAUGGGAAACUGAUUUUCGGCUAUAAUUUUUCAUUUAAUUGAAGUUCGGUAAGUUUAACAAUGUUAACUAAUUGUUGAUCUAAGGGUCUGUAUUGUUUUUGGCUUUAAUUGUUUCCUCUACUGCAUUUACUUUUAUCUUGGAAUUAAUCUUAAAUUUAGGAAGUGAAAGAUUACACAUCAUAUGUUCUGGAGUUUAGCUUGAAUAGUAGUAAAUUUUGGAACUUUGGGUCAUAUAAUUAAUUUAUUUGAUUAGGCAUUUGUUGAACAUGGUUAAAUUGUGUGUUAAUAGGAUAAAAGACUGAUACACAACUUAGUUUUGAAGUGAGAACACAUAAACAAAUAGGCCAAUGUAGCUACCUUCUUUGCCAUGUUUAUAUCAAUUACUGCUGGGAAUGAACUCUUUCAAACUCUUUAAAGAAUGGCUUAUCAAAUGUUGAAGUGACCAUUCACGAUAAAAUAUUUUGACAUUAAAAGUAUUGAUAUUGAAAUCAAUAUACAAUUAACGAAUGGAAUUUUGAUCGUAUGAGAAUGAUUUUGUCAUAUAGUUUAAGUAUCCUUGAAACCUUUACAUUGCAUAAAAAGUAAUGGAACCUAAAUUGAUCUGGUUGAUUCUAAAUGGUUUGAAAAGGCCUCAGUGGCCAUGGACUUGGUUUAACUGGAAAUGAUGGAGUCUAAUUUUGGCUUGGCCAAAUUUGAUAGAAUGACUUUGAAUAUUGUUUCAAAAAUUUUCUUUUGUUCUUAGAGUUUGAAGUUUAACUACCUCUUGCUAAACCUGUAGUCUGGCUUUUGCUUACAGUUAGGGGUCUUGUGCAGGGUCUUUCAUGUACUUAUCAGUCUGCUACUGAUGCUGCAAUUUUGAUUUUUCUCAUGGUAUCUUUUAGAAGUGCAUCUCAAAUCCUCUCUGUUAUCAAACAAUAGUUUUAUCUUAUAGACUAUUAGUGGACUCUAAUGUUUUAUUUGUACGGAAAGCAUUGGGUUGUGCUCGGAAAGUCAAGAGUUACUGGAAAACCAGAGGUAGUGACGGGCAUAUCUCAGCUUAAUGUUUAAAUAGGGUAGGUUAAGGAAGUGAAAAACAAAGUUGAGUUUUUGUUUAAAAGUAUAUGGUUUUAAUGCUUUAACUUUAGUCUCUUUAGCGUUAGCUUAACUUCAAUAAUAUGAUUUAAAUAAUGAAUUGGAGUUAAAAGUUGUCUGUAUAGUGAAUCAGGAAAGAUAAGGUGAAAAACAGAGUUGAGAUUUGUUUGAAAGUGUAUGCUUUAAAUAUAGCUGUAGCCGAAUUUCAAUAAUAUGGUUUAGAUAGUGAAUUGGAGCUAUGUUGGUUGGACACUUGAAAAAUGAUACCGUAUCCAUUUCAUAUCCUCUAAAAAUGUGUAACUUUGGGAGGAUCUGACAGACACUCAAUGAAACGUUUUAAGAAUUCGAGCAACUUAGAAUUGAAGUUAAAAGUUAGCCCUAUAUUAACUGAGAUUACUAGAACUGAAACAUUUGUGUACUAAUAGAAAAUAUAAAAAGAACAUAUCAACUCAGAUUUGAAGAGAAAAACUUCUCUUUUUUUUGGUCAGGAAAGAGAAAAACUUCAUUAUUAUAGAUUUUUCAUCUGAGUUUAUGCUCAAGGACUGUAUUGAGGCUUAGUACCUUUUUUAUGUUUUCUAUAUGUUUAACAUGACCCUAGAUAGGAAGGUCUGGAGGACGCGAAUCAGGGCAGUUUUCCUUUGUUUUAGAUUACUUAUGGGUGCCGUAUUUAUGUUAUGUAAUCUUGUAACCUUGUGCUGUGCUUUACUAUGUGUUUGUGUGGUACCGCGUGUCUUGAGCCGGGGGUCUAUCGGAAACAGCCUUUCUACUUCUUCAGAGGUAGAGGUAUGGACUGCGUACAUCCUACCCCCAGACCCCACCAGGUGGGAAUACACUGGGUUUGUUGUUGUUGUUGUUGUUGUU
rnacentral:lncRNA from 1 species